CGCGUAGGCGGCCUGCUAAGUCUGGAGUGAAAGUCCUGCUUUCAAGGUGGGAAUUGCUUUGGAAACUGGCGGGCUGGAGUGUGGGAGAGGAAAGCGGAAUUCCCGGUGUAGCGGUGAAAUGCGUAGAGAUCGGGAGGAACACCAGUGGCGAAGGCGGCUUUCUGGACCAUAACUGACGCUGAGGCGCGAAAGCGUGGGGAGCAAACAGGAUUAGAUACCCUGGUAGUCCACGCUGUAAACGAUGAAUGCUAGGUGUAGGAGGUAUCGACCCCUUCUGUGCCGGAGUUAACACAAUAAGCAUUCCGCCUGGGGAGUACGGCCGCAAGGUUGAA
rnacentral:rRNA from 1 species